ACCACAACAGGUGGAGCCUGCGGUUUAAUCGGACUCAACGCCGGGAAACUCACCAGAUAAGACAGCUGAAUGAUAGUCGGGCUGAAGACUCUACUUGACUAGCUGAGAGGAGGUGCAUGGCCGUCGUCAGUUCGUACUGUGAAGCAUCCUGUUAAGUCAGGCAACGAGCGAGACCCACGCCAACAGUUGCCAGCUCGUCCUCCGGGAUGGUGGGGACACUGUUGGGACCGCCUCUGCUAAAGAGGAGGAAGGAAUGGGCAACGGUAGGUCAGCAUGCCCCGAAUUAUCUGGGCUACACGCGGGCUACAAUGGGUGGGACAAUGGGUAUCGACACCGAAAGGUGAAGGCAAUCUCCUAAACCCAUCCGUAGUUCGGAUUGUGGGCUGCAACUCGCCCACAUGAAGCUGGAAUCUGUAGUAAUCGUGUCUCAAAUGGCACGGUGAAUAUGUCCCUGCUCCUU
rnacentral:rRNA from 1 species